AUUGAACGUUGGCGGCGUGGAUUAGGCAUGCAAGUCGAGCGAGAACCGUAGCAAUACGGGGACAGCGGCGAAAGGGACAGUAAUGUGUAGGUACCUACCCCGAGGUCUGGGAUAGCUGCGGGAAACUGCAGGUAAUACCGGAUAAUGUCUUCGGACCAAAGGUGUGAUUCCACCUUGGGAGGGGCCUGCAUCCUAUUAGCUUGUUGGCGGGGUAACGGCCCACCAAGGCGACGAUGGGUAGCGGGUGUGAGAGCACGACCCGCGUCAUUGGGACUGAGACACUGCCCAGACACCUACGGGUGGCUGCAGUCGAGGAUCUUCGGCAGUGGGCGCAAGCCUGACCGAGCGACGCCGCGUGCGGGAUGAAGGCCUUCGGGUUGUAAACCGCUGUCGUAGAGGAGGAAAUGCAGGGGGGUUCUCCCUUCUGUUUGACCUAUCCUAGGAGGAAGGACGGGCUAAGUUCGUGCCAGCCGCCGCUGUAA
rnacentral:rRNA from 1 species